rnacentral:rRNA from 1 species
UCCGUGCCAGCAGCCGCGGUAAUACGGGGGAUGCAAGCGUUAUCCGGAAUCAUUGGGUGUAAAGCGCCUGUAGGUUGUUUGAUAAGUCUGUUGUUAAAGCCUAGGGCUUAACCCUAGAAAAGCGAUGGAAACUACCAGACUAGAGUAUGGAAGGGGUAGAGGGAAUUUCUAGUGUAGCGGUGAAAUGCGUAGAUACUAGAAAGAACACCAGAAGCGAAAGCGCUCUACUGGGCCAGUACUGACACUCAGAGGCGAAAGCUAGGGUAGCAAAAGGGAUUAGAUACCCCUGUAGUCCUAGCCGUAAACGAUGGAUACUAGAUGUUGUGGGUUACUUGUAACAGAUGUUGCAGAUUAACAUGCAGUGACGAAGCUAACGCGUUAAGUAUCCCACCUGGGGAGUACGCUCGCAAGGGUGAAACUCAAAGGAAUUGACGGGGGCCUGCACAAGCGGUGGAGCAUGUGGUUUAAUUCGAUGCAACGCGAAGAACCUUACCAGGAUUUGACAUACUACAAAUCUUUUUGAGAAAAAAGAGCGCCUUCGGGAAUGUAGAUACAGGUGGUGCAUGGCUGUCGUCAGCUCGUGUCGUGAGAUGUUGGGUUAAGUCCCGCAACGAGCGCAACCCUUAUUUUUAGUUACUAACUUGUUAGGUUCUCUAGAAAGACUGCCGGUGACAAACCGGAGGAAGGUGAGGAUGACGUCAAGUCAGCAUGCCCCUUAUAUCCUGGGCUACACACGUGCUACAAUGGUUAAGACAAUGAGUCGCAAGCUCGCGAGAGUCUGCUAAUCU